GAACCUGCUGUGAGAUACAAGAGAGGAAAGCUGGGAGUUAGUUUUGUUAAGUAAACGAAGUAGAUCCACCGAAACAGUUUCCACCUCAAGCGGGUAAAUAUGGUGAGAGUAUGCUAAUUGGAGCCCCAAAAGUAGAGCUUUAAAUUCCAUUUCGAGACAAGUGGAAGCUGAGGAGCUGCCAGCAAAACCCAAGUAGCAUAUACCUUCAUGAUCUCCAUAAACCUCCAUUGGAAGAAAGAGAUUGGAAAGCUCCAUCAAUGUUCAACUUAAACCAAUUAACCGUUCUCGGGAGGAUACCAUUUUACUGGAAUGUCCACAUAUUUCUUCACCGAUGUAUGGGCAUCGGAGAAGAAGUAGAACUCAUGGAUGGAAUGCAUAAGGCGCUGUGGUGAGAGAGUUGUUGGCGAGAAGAGUUGAAGCAAGCAUCGUUACGGUUUUUCCAAAUGAACCAAAUGGCAAAAGGAUAAAACAGAGACAGGUGAUAUAAGUGUCAGGGAUGGGGUAGUUGUUCGAGUCUUUUAUGAAGAUAAGCCAUUCAUUGGAAGGGUAGGGUGGCCAAUGGUCGAUGGAAUCUGCCAGUAAGCCCACACAUCCGACUGCUUCUAAAAUUUUGCUUUCAUAAAUUAGAAAUUUCUAGUUUGUUGAAAUUGUUCUGCAAAUACCAUUAUUGAAUUAUGGUUAAUAUAGUAAAUUUAGCUUAAAAGUUUUUAAUAUUAUUCAAUAGUACUAAUGCGUUAAAAUUGUCCAA